AUGCUCAUCAGGUUUCAGGAUCUACAAGAAGCAGAUGACACAAGGCAUUGUUUAGGUCACAAAGGACAAUUCCUGAGUUUCCUUUGAUAAGACCAACUCUUCUGGUAUCAGUUGCUGUGUUAAGCAAGGACCAAGAAGCAAGGAUCUCACUUAAACGUAUCUUCCAACUUUCUGCCAGCUUUCCCAUUGAGUGCUUAUGGAGAGUCAGCAGAGAACGUCAGAAAUUGAGAUCACAUAACUGCAACUCACUGCAAUGGACAGAACUCCAAGGAUCCAUUAAAAAUCCUUCUCCUUCAGUACUGUUGCAAGUUUGAACAGCCACUGGAUGAGUGGUCAUAAUCUGAAGAGAAAUGUACAUACUAUGUACGCAUACAUAAACUAACAAUAUAAUGGAGAACUUAAUUUUAAGUACUGUAUUUUUCAGACUAUAAGACACACUUUCCUCACACCCCAAAAAGUGGAUGGAAAUGACUGUGUCUUAUAGAGCAAAUAUGGGCCUGUUUUUGGCCUACCAAACCCUCUGCAUGUCCCAUUUUUGCCCUCCCCAGCAUUCAGAAGCACUCUGCGGGCUAAAAACGGGCCUAUUUUUGGACUCCCAAACCCUCCACGGGUCCCGUUUUUGCCCCUCUGGCAUCAUAAUUAAAACUGAAGCUGUCCUAUAACUAAUA